CCUAACACAUGCAAGUCGAACGGUAACAGGAAGAAGCUUGCUUCUUUGCUGACGAGUGGCGGACGGGUGAGUAAUGUCUGGGAAACUGCCUGAUGGAGGGGGAUAACUACUGGAAACGGUAGCUAAUACCGCAUAACGUCGCAAGACCAAAGAGGGGGACCUUCGGGCCUCUUGCCAUCAGAUGUGCCCAGAUGGGAUUAGCUAGUAGGUGGGGUAACGGCUCACCUAGGCGACGAUCCCUAGCUGGUCUGAGAGGAUGACCAGCCACACUGGAACUGAGACACGGUCCAGACUCCUACGGGAGGCAGCAGUGGGGAAUAUUGCACAAUGGGCGCAAGCCUGAUGCAGCCAUGCCGCGUGUAUGAAGAAGGCCUUCGGGUUG
rnacentral:rRNA from 1 species